AAAAAGAUAAGCUAAUUUUAAGCUAAUGGGUUCAUACCCCAUAUAUAAAAGUACAAAACCUUUUUCUUUUUA
rnacentral:tRNA from 1 species